GCUCUUGUGGAUGACAGAAAUUAAGCGAGAAGAAUUCUGCUAGUAGGAAAAGAAAAGUGAUCGACCAUCGCGGUGGUGCGAAAUCGUUUGCUGUUUAUUAUGAAGAAGAAAAAGAAAAAGCGAAGGAGGUAACCAAGAUUGAUCUGCAGAAUUUUAUUGUGUAAUCUUGACAUUCAUAAACUAUUAUAUAAACCAUAUAUUUUCAUAGCAAAGGAGGUAAGCAAGAUUGAUCUGCAGAAUCUGGUUCAUUUCCUUGCUGGUGUUAAGGAUUUUCCACCCCUGGAGAUAAUCUCUGCUUAGGAAUUCCCUAGCUAGAUGAUCAUUCCUUUCGAAAUGCUCAACAAAAACGACACUCCCCUCUUGACUAUAAUAUUGAAACACCUUUAUUAGUGCGUCAAACCUCAGAAAUCCAAACUUAAAACUGACGACCUGAUGCUCUUUUAUGCCUGUAAGCGACAACUCCGGCCCCUUUUAGAAUUAAAAAAAGGUGGUUGUUUCAAUUUAGGCUCAACAUAUCUCCAAACUUGUCCCUGUAGCUUUGUUUAUGUGAAAGUACUAAGGCUUGCAGUUGAUGAUCUGCACAAUCAAGCAACUGCAAAAUCCCUAAGCAGAUUGUUGCUACUUUUCCUGGAUCAGGUUCUUGUACAACCACAUCUCGACCAUUCUGCAGAGCUGCAAUUACCUGCUGUUGAGCCAUAGAUGGAUAAUUAUAUCAAUAAUUUUAGAUUUUGAUAUUAUGGCGUUCUCAAAUUUUAGAUUAACUUCAAUCCACUGUUAACAUAUAUGCACUUACAUUUUGAAGCGUGCUGCUGCAUGUGAGGCUGCGGGUGAUGUAGACAUACCUGAAGAUACCAACCACCAAGAGGGGAGGAUUGAGUUCUACCGCCGGAUGCAUUAUAAUGAAACUAAGGGCUGGACUUCUCCUCUCGCACAAAAAAACUAUGUAUGUCUUCUAAUUUUUGUUUGUAAAUUUUUAU
rnacentral:lncRNA from 1 species